rnacentral:tRNA from 1 species
UUGGGGAUUUAGCUCAGUGGUAGAGUGCUUGCCUAGCAAGCACAAGGCCCUGGGUUCGGUCCUCAGCUCUGGAAA